rnacentral:pre_miRNA from 1 species
UACUACUCCCGUUUUGGAUUUUCUUUUAAACGUUUGUCUCUUCGUCUUAUUUAAAAUAAAAUUAUUAGUAUUUCUGUUGUUAUUAGAUGAUAAAAUAUUAAUAGUAAUUUAUGCAUGACUUAUUUUUUAAAAUAUUUUAUAAAUUUUUCAAAUAAAACGGACGGUUAAAUGUUAGACAUAGAAACCCAAAACUUCACUUAAA